UGUAGAGUGGCACUAAGGCCCUGAAUUUUGGUCACACUGCAACCUACACAAAAACUUUACCAACAGAAGCUGUGGGGACUUGUAGCAUGCAGACCUUGCAGGCUUAAUGCUCACCUCGGUGUCUGCAUCUCCCUCAGAUUCUCUCCCAGGCGAUGAGACCCAAUGGCUAGAAAUUCACCAUGUGUAUUCUCAAGACCCAUGCCAGGGAGAUUUUUGACUCAUGGGACUCCCACUGUGGGAUCUCUUCACCGCAGAAGUUCUCUUCAGAGCUGCUGUGCUCAAUGGUGUUUCAACCGGUAUCUAAGAGGCCCUAGAGCUCCAGGACAAUGAUAAGACUUGCUAUAUGGGGAGGGCUGUCUCAAAGGCUGUUGAGCACAUCAGUAAAACUAUAUUGUGCCUGCCCUGGUUAGCAAGAAACUGAACAUCACAGAACAAGAGAAGAUUGACAAACUGUUGAUCCAGAUGGAGGGGACAGAAAAUAAAUCUAGGUUUGGUGCGAACGCCAUUCUGGGAGUGUCCCUUGCCAUGUGCAAAGCUGGUGCUGUUGAGAAGGGAGUUCCCCUGUACUGCCACAUCGCUGACUUGGCUGCCAACUCGGCUGCCAAAUCUGAAGUCAUCCUGUCAGUUCUGGUGUUGAAUGUCAUCAGUGGUGGUCCUCAUGCUGGCAACAAGCUAGCCAUGCAGGAGUUCAUGAACCUCCCAGUAGGGGCCACAAACUUCAGGGAGGCCAUGCGCAUUGGGGAUGAAGGUGGGUUUGCUCCCAACACCCUGGUGAAUGAGGAAGGCCUGGAGCUGCUGAAGACUUCGAUUGGCAAAGCUGGUUACACCGAUAAGAUUGUUAUCACCAUGGACAUAGCAGCCUCCAAGUUUUACAGGUUUGGGAAGUAUGUCCUGGACUUCAAGUCUUCUGAUGACUCCAGCAGGUACAUCUCACCUGACAAGCUGGCUGACCUGCACAAGUUCUUCAUCAAUGACUACCCAGUGGUGUCUAUGGAAAAUCUCUUUGACCAGAAUGACUGGGGAGCUUGGCAGAAGUUCACGGCCAUUGCAGGAAUCCAGGUGGUGGGGAUAAUCUCACAGUAACCAACCCGAAGAGGAUUGCCAAGGCCACAGAGAAGUCAUGCAACUGCCUCCUGCUCAGCGUGAACUAGAUUGGCUCUGUGACCGAGUCCUUGCAGAGGUGCAAGCUGGCACAGGCCAAUGGUUGGGGCGUCAUGGUGUUGCAUCAUUCUGGGGAGACUGAACAUACCUUCAUUGCCUGCCUGGGGGUGGUGAUGUGCACUGGGCAGACCAAGAUGUGUGCCCCUUGCCAAUAAGAGCGCUUGGCCAAGUAGAACCAGCUCCUCAGAAUUGAAGAGGAGCUGGGCAGCAACGCUAAAUUUGCUGGCAGAAACUUCAGAAACCCCUGGCUAAGCAGGCCAGCGCUUCAGUCACCUGUUGGCUAAUUAGACUUCUCUCCUCCUCUCAGCUUGGGCAGCUCCAGGCUGACCAACACUUGCAGGGGCCCCUGCUAGUUAGCUUCCCUCACCCACUGCCGUGGAGUUCACACUGCUUCCUUAGAACUGCUACAGAAGCCAAGCUCCCUGGAGCCCUCUUGGCAGCUCUAGCUUUACAGUCAUGUAAUUGGACCAAAUGAUUGUUUUUCUCACCUCACUUUCCACCAGGUGUCUGGAGCAAUCUGAGCCUCCGGUGUCAUCUCCGCGGUAGCCACAGGCAAGAUCCCCACUGGUUUUGUGCUCAAAAUAAAAAGCCUCAGUGACCAAUGAG